GGCCCUACGGGGUGCAGCAGGCGCGAAAACUUUACAAUGCUGGCAACAGCGAUAAGGGAACCUCGAGUGCCAGGUUACAAAUCUGGCUGUCGAGAUGCCUAAAAAGCAUUUCAUAGCAAGGGCCGGGCAAGACCGGUGCCAGCCGCCGCGGUAACACCGGCGGCUCGAGUGGUAACCGUUAUUAUUGGGUCUAAAGGGUCUGUAGCCGGCCGGAUAAGUCUCUUGAGAAAUCUGGCAGCUUAACUGUCAGGCUUUCAGGAGAUACUGUCUGGCUCGAGGCCGGGAGAGGUGAGAGGUACUUCAGGGGUAGGGGUGAAAUCUUGUAAUCCUUGAAGGACCACCAGUGGCGAAGGCGUCUCACCAGAACGGACCUGACGGUAAGGGACGAAAGCUAGGGGCACGAACCGGAUUAGAUACCCGGGUAGUCCUAGCCGUAAACGAUACUCGCUAGGUGUCGGCCACGGUGCGACCGUUGUCGGUGCCGUAGGGAAGCCGUGAAGCGAGCCACCUGGGAAGUACGGCCGCAAGGCUGAAACUUAAAGGAAUUGGCGGGGGAGCACCACAACGGGUGGAGCUUGCGGUUUAAUUGGAUUCAACGCCGGAAAUCUU
rnacentral:rRNA from 1 species